UAAGGAAUAUUGGGCAAUGGACGCAAGUCUGACCCAGCCAUGCCGCGUGAAGGAUGAAUGUCCUAUGGAUUGUAAACUUCUUUUAUGCAGGAAAAAUAUCCCGGUCGUGAACCGGGACUGAUGGUACUGUAUGAAUAAGCAUCGGCUAACUCCGUGCCAGCAGCCGCGGUAAUACGGAGGAUGCAAGCGUUAUCCGGAUUCAUUGGGUUUAAAGGGUGCGCAGGCGGAAUGAUAAGUCAGUGGUGAAAGCUCCGGGCUCAACCGUGAAACUGCCAUUGAUACU
rnacentral:rRNA from 1 species